AUGUCGUCGGUGAAUGUCAUGCUUAGCAGCCAGAGUGCUCGCCUCCCUUCUGUUUCCAUGCCAGGCUUCUCUGACGGAUUGAGUGGACGCAGUGACAAUAAUUCAAAAGCGGCGUCCUCAAAUGGAAUGACCAUCACAAAGCUCGAGCCAAGAUGA
rnacentral:rRNA from 1 species